rnacentral:rRNA from 1 species
UACGUAGGGGGCAGGCGUUGUCCGGAUUUACUGGGCGUAAAGAGCGUGUAGGCGGCCAAACAGGUCCGUUGUGAAAACUGGAGGCUCAACCUCCAGACGUCGACGGAAGCCGUAUGGCUAGAGUCCGGAAGAGGAGAGUGGAAUUCCUGGUGUAGCGGUGAAAUGCGCAGAUAUCAGGAAGAACACCAAUGGCGAAGGCAGCUCUCUGGGACGGUACUGACGCUGAGACGCGAAAGCGUGGGGAGCGAACAGG